rnacentral:rRNA from 1 species
CAAUAGCGUAUAUUAAAGCUGUUGCGGUUAAAAAGCUCGUAGUUGGAUUUCCGUCAAGGACAACUGGUCCGCCCUCCGGGUGAGCACAUAGUUUGGUCUUGACAUCUUGCUGGAAGCUGUUGCUGCACUUGGCUGUGUGGCGCAGUGUUCAGCACUUUCACUUUGAGGAAAUUGGAGUGUUUCAAGCAGGCACAUGCCUUUGGACACAGUAGCAUGGAAUAAUUAGAUUGGGCUUUUGCUCCAAUUUGUCGGUUUCUGGAGCUGAGGUGAGUAUUAAUGGGGAUUGUUGGGGGCAUCCGAAUUUAGCCGUCAGAGGUGAAAUUCUUGGAUCUGCUAAAGACGGACAACUGCGAAAGCGUUUGCCCAGGAUGUUUUCAUUGA